UGGCAGCGCCUGAGUGAAGGGCGACUCUGGCAGCGCCGGACUGGCGGGAGACUCUGGCAGGAGGAACUCUCUAACUACACAUUCAGGAACUUCUCCUUCUUUCGCUUGGAUACCUUUGUCUUGAAAGCAGCUUAAAUCCAAAGAAUGCCAGACUUUGAUGACAAAGUUUGAUGAGAACAUUUGCCCAAGAAGGACUGGGCACAGCACAAGACAAGACUGGGGACCCUUACAGCGCCUGUCCGGCGCUGCCGGAGGCGCCGCCGGAGUCUCCCUCCUAGUCCGCGGUCAGCGGCGAGGGUCGCCACUCCAGAGGCGCCACAGAAGUGGGCCAAGACUAAGGUGGAGUGGGGUCUGCGUCCCGCACAAGAGCCGACACCACGGUGAAAUGCCCACCCAGACCCUCACCUAUAGGUUCAUGUUUAGCAGCCGGAGUCCGCACCUUU